rnacentral:rRNA from 1 species
GACGAACGCUGGCGGCGUGCUUAACACAUGCCGGUCGAACGGAAAGGCCCUGCUUUUGUGGGGUGCUCGAGUGGCGAAAGGGUGAGUAACACGUGAGUAAACUGCCCUUGACUUUGGGAUAACUUCAGGAAACUGGGGCUAAUAUCGGAUAGGAGCUACUGCUGCAUGGUGGGGGUUGGUAAGUUUCGGCGGUUGGGGAUGGACUCGCAGCUUAUCAGCUUGUUGGUGGGGUAGUGGAUUACCAAGGUUUUGACGGGUAGCCGGCCUGAGAGGGUGACCGGCCACAUUGGGACUGAGGUACGGCCCAGACUCGUACGGGAGGCAGCAGUGGGGAAUAUUGCACAAUGGGCCGAAGCCUGAUGCAGCGACGCCGCGUGCGGGAUGACGGCCUUCGAGUUGUAAACCGAUUUCGCCUGUGACGAAGCGUGAGUGACGGUAAUGGGUAAAGAAGCACCGGCUAACUACGUG